rnacentral:rRNA from 1 species
ACGGGGGGUGCAAGCGUUACUCGGAAUCACUGGGCGUAAAGAGCAUGUAGGCGGAUUAAUAAGUUUGAAGUGAAAUCCUAUAGCUUAACUAUAGAACUGCUUUGGAAACUGUUUAACUAGAAUAUGGGAGAGGUAGGUGGAAUUUCUGGUGUAGGGGUGAAAUUCGUAGAUAUCAGGAGGAACACCGGUGGGGAAGGCGACCUACUGGAACUAUACUGACGCUGAGACGCGAGAGCGUGGGUAGCAACCAG